rnacentral:tRNA from 1 species
GUGGUGGCUCAGUGGCAAAGUGCUUGCCUAGCACGUGUGAGGCCCUGGGUUCGACUCUCAGCACCACA